rnacentral:rRNA from 1 species
CCUACGGGAGGCAGCAGUGAGGAAUAUUGGUCAAUGGACGUGAGUCUGAACCAGCCAAGUCGCGUGAAGGAUGACUGCCCUAUGGGUUGUAAACUUCUUUUAUAAAGGAAUAAAACGCGGCACGUGUGCCUUUUUGCAUAUACUUUAUGAAUAAGGAUCGGCUAACUCCGUGCCAGCAGCCGCGGUAAUACGGGGGGUCCGAGCGUUAUCCGGAUUUAUUGGGUUUAAAGGGAGCGUAGAUGGGUUGUUAAGUCAGUUGGGAAAGUGUGCGGCUCAACCGUAAAAUUGCAAUUGAUACUGGCAGUCUUGAGUACAGUUGAGGUAGGCGGAAUGCGUGGUGUAGCGGUGAAAUGCAUAGAUAUCACGAAGAACCCCGAUUGCGAAGGCAGCUUACUAAACUGUGACUGACAUUGAUGCUCGAAAGUGUGGGUAUCAAACAGGAUUAGAUACCCCAGUAGUC